rnacentral:rRNA from 1 species
UACGUAGGUGGCAAGCGUUGUCCGGAUUUACUGGGCGUAAAGCGUAUGCAGGCGGACCUUUAAGUAGGAAGUGAAAGGUGGGAGCUCAACUCUCACACUGCUCCCUAUACUGGAGGUCUUGAGUACCGGAGAGGACAAGGGAACAGGUCGUGUAGCGGUGAAAUGCGUUGAGAUGACUUGGAACACCAAUGGCGAAAGCACUUGUCUGGGACGGAAGACUGACG